rnacentral:rRNA from 1 species
AGUGAACGCUGGCGGUAGGCCUAACACAUGCCAGUCGAACGGCAGCACAGUAAGAGCUUGCUCUUACGGGUGGCGAGUGGCGGACGGGUGAGGAAUACAUCGGAAUCUACUUUUUCGUGGGGGAUAACGUAGGGAAACUUACGCUAAUACCGCAUACGACCUACGGGUGAAAGCAGGGGAUCUUCGGACCUUGCGCGAUUGAAUGAGCCGAUGUCGGAUUAGCUAGUUGGCGGGGUAAAGGCCCACCAAGGCGACGAUCCGUAGCUGGUCUGAGAGGAUGAUCAGCCACAAGGGAACUGAAACACGGUCCAGACUCCUACGGGAGGAAGCAGUGGGGAAUAUUGGACAAUGGGCGCAAGCCUGAUCCAGCAAUACCGCGUGGGUGAAGAAGGCCUUCGGGUUGUAAAGCCCUUUUUUGGGGAAAGAAAAGCAGCAGGUUAAUACCCCGCUGUUCUGACGGUACCCAAAGAAUAAGCACCGGCUAACUUCGUG